rnacentral:rRNA from 1 species
CGUUGGGGUCUUUCAUAUACAGGAGUGCUUGCAUCUCGGCUACGAGGUUAAAUGGAGCGGAUGGAGGCGCAGGUCAUGUACUGCGGUGAAUCCUUUUCCCGGGCCUUGUACACACCGCCCGUCACACCGUGGAAGUUGGCCACGCCCAAAGCCGUUACUCCAACCCUUGUGGAGGAGGACGUCAAAGGUGGGGCUGAUGACUGGGGUGAAGUCGUAACGGGGAGCCGUACCGGAAGGUGCGGCUGGAUCACCUCCUAACAGGGAGACAAACAACCAUUUUGAUGUCUGAGUAUU